UGGGUAACCUGCCUCAAAGAGGGGAAUAGCCUCCCGAAAGGGAGAUUAAUACCGCAUAAUAUGUUUAGGUCGCAUGACUUUAACAUCAAAGGAUUUUCUUUUAGAACUUCCACUUUGAGAUGGACCCGCGGCGCAUUAGCUAGUUGGUGAGGUAACGGCUCACCAAGGCAACGAUGCGUAGCCGACCUGAGAGGGUGAUCGGCCACAUUGGAACUGAGACACGGUCCAGACUCCGUAGGAGG
rnacentral:rRNA from 1 species